UACGUAGGGGGCUAGCGUUGUCCGGAAUCAUUGGGCGUAAAGAGCGCGUAGGCGGCCAGAUAAGUCCGGUGUGAAAGUCACAGGCUCAACCUGUGAAUGCCGCUGGAAACUGUCUGGCUAGAGUCCGGGAGGGGCGAGUGGAAUUCCUGGUGUAGCGGUGAAAUGCGCAGAUAUCAGGAAGAACACCCGUGGCGAAGGCGGUUCUCUGGGACGGUACUGACGCUGAGACGCGAAAGCGUGGGGAGCGAACAGG
rnacentral:rRNA from 1 species